AAAUCCAAUGUUCUAUUUCAUUUCUCCGCCGCCAGUCAAGACUCCGCCACCCCUCCGCCUGAGGCUCGAGCUCCUCUUCCCCCUAAGCCUUAGAUUGCUUUUCCGACAAGCUAACCUUCCACCGAUUGCUUUCAUCGACGGCGCCGACCUCUUCGAGAAAUCUGGGCCGAACUCGAAUCCCCAAUCUGCAAGGUUGUAAUCCAUUUCGAAGUAGGUCUAGAAGUGGAAGUAUUGGCUGAAGUUCUUCUUCCAUCUGCUUCGGAAAGUUUAGAGGAAUUGGAGAUCAAUUUUCUAAUAAAGGAGUGAAGAAUUUUACAGAGGAGCUAAGCUAGUUUUUUUUGGUUGCUUAAAACUGCAUCACCGGGAAACUCUCUUCUUUCAGAUUAAAGUUGUGAGCAAUUAUUGAAUAAGUUCUAGCCACCACAAACUCCACUCUCCAACUGUUACUUUCCAGAUUUUCAUCGAGUCAGCUCACUUUUAAGACCUCCUUAUAAUUGAUGUAUUGGAAUAUAUCCCUUCACAUGUAGCGAAAUUCUUCUACUGGACAGGAUUGAGUGAAGAUGUUGUGUACAAAUAUUGGUACACAAGGGCAAGAGAUAGAUAUAAAGAUCUUAUUCAUAAGAUCAAGAGGUGCCGAAACAACGAGAAUCCACCUCCAUUCAUUCCUGGAAGAGAUUGGGCAAGUUGGAAAGAGUAUUGGGGUCGGGAUGAUGUGAAAGAAAAAGCAGAAAAGGCGCGAAGGAAUAGGAUGUCUGAACCAGAUGGAGUUGGAACAGGGAUCAUAAAGCAUAGAGGUGGCUCAAGAUGUGCUUUGGAUUACGCCAUGGAAAUGGCAAAAGAGAAAGGAGUCACCGUAGAAGAGGUCCAGCUCGAUGUGUUCGAAAGGUUUCACGUCACAAAAUCUGGUGAUUACACAGAUGGGAAGUCUCGUGCUAUUGCAAUGAAGGUGAAUGAGCGUAUUGAGACAUUGAGCUAGCCUGUUCCCGGAACAGAUGAGGUGCCAGAGGUGGAUAGGAAUGAGAUCUUCAAAAGUCUUAUCCAGCCCUCGAAGAAGAAGAGAUUGUUUGGUGCUGGCUCUCUUGCGCAUUGCUAUAUUAGUGGUUCAUCGAGUGCUGAUUCUGCAGCAACCUCCCAGCUCGAUUCCACUGCUCAGCAGAAGUUGGUGGAGGUGCAGGAACUGUUAGAGUUAGAGAGAGAGGAGCGUCAUCAAAGCGAGGAAAAGUUGCGAGCAGAGCUGAGGGCACGAGACGAGGCACAAGCACAGAUGCAGGCACAGUUUCAGGCACAGAUUCAGGCUCAGCUACGAGCUCAGCAGGAGGCGUUUGAGCAAGCUCUAUCGAAGCUAUAUAGUGGUAGAGGAGGCUCAUCAUCUUCCUCUUGAUCCUUUUAUCUUUAUAUGUUGGUUUGGAACUAUUUUAAACACUUUGAUUUUAACUUUUAGUUAUGUUGGAGAUUGAACUUGUUAUGUUGGAUUUCUAUGAAUUAAUGUGAUAUAAGACUUUUUGUUAUUUAUA